ensembl:lncRNA
GGAAAAACCACUUUAGUCCAUUAAUCUACACAGAAAAACAUCACUUUUAAGCGAACUGCUUUAUUUGGUCCCAGAAAAGCAGAGUUUUCACCCUUGUUCUCCUGAUUUGUAGCUCAAAUACCUUCAUGGCAAUGUUAAACUACAGGAGCAGCCAGUUAAAGAUAACUUCAGGAGAAUUGAAGAAAACCAACCGUUUAAAGAGUUAAAACUCAUUUAAACCUUCAGUAAAGUUCAAGUCAGACAAACUCAGAUUCAUGGUUUACUUUGGUCACAAUUCCAGUUUACUAGAUCAGCUGAGAACAGAACUCCAACCAAGGAAGGAGAGGUCUAGGGUUUAAUGGUCAGAACAAAUUCAGUAGAACUACUCAUCUACACAAGACGCUUUAGAGUCACUUUACUGUCAGGUUCUUCACUAUAGCUGCAUUUGGUCCCAGACACGGUGUCAUUUGUUCCAGGUCAUCCUCCAUUUUCUUACCUCUGAGCUGAUAAGAUGCAGGAGAAACACCUGAGAGACUUUAAACUACAGCAGCCAGAAUUAUUGGAACGGCUGCUUGAUAGUUUAAGAAAACCAGCUGUUUAAAGUCAAACUAAACCAGUUUAAAUCAAUGGCGUUAAAGUCAAGCACAGAUACUCAGAUUCAUGUUUACUUAAGGUUUAUUAAAGGUUACGUCGUAGUUUCUUGGAGGUUCUGCUGAUCAGUUCCACCUGCAGAAACAAAGAAACACAGCAGUUAGUCCCUGAACCAGCAGCUUCUUCUACACUCCAUGUUCCAGCUGCUUCUUACCUCCUUAGACCUUGGUUCCGGUUCCAGGUCCAGGUCCUUGGCUGGGAUCUCCUGGGUUCACCGGAGAGAAAAACGGGCCAAAGUCAUCUGGGGAGUAUUUAGAGUGGGAGAGGAGUUCUCUGGCUCGCUGGUAGCCGUUACUAGACUGGACGAUGUAGGACGUAGGACCACGAACAACCAAUGGGAAGGGGUCGGUGGGAAUGUUAUCAGGGAUCCAGACUGAGGGGUCUGGGAGACGGACAAACCUUGGUCUCAAGUCAUUUAUAUCGUAGGAGAACCCCUGUGGGUAGUUAAUCAAAGGAGUAAAUCCUGCAGAUCCAAAGGGCAAAGAACUGCUGAAGAAACCAGAGCCUCCUGAACCACCAGAUCCUCCAGAACCACCAGAUCCCCCAGAACCACCAGCACCAGCUCCUCCACCAGCUCCUCCAGUUCCUCCACCAGCUCCUCCAGAACCUGUUUGACCUGAAUCCAGACACAAACCAACAUGUUCACGGCUCUGAUCCACUCAUGUGGACACCAGCAGCUAAAUAAAUCCACAUCCAGCUGCUGGAGCUGCCUUCAGACACGUUGGGCUUCAUUUAAAGCUGCUUCAGGUCAACAUGUCUGCAGACUCACCUUUAAUUAGAAAAGGGUAACAAGCUCCAGAGCUGAGGAGCAGGAAGCAGAUCCAGAAGACCCUGUGGAGAGCAGAAAGCAGCCUGUAAAUAGCAGCACAUGGAAGCCCACCUGCAGCAUGAAGCGCAGCAGCUCACCUGAGAACAGAUUCCAGCAGCAUGUCCAGCUGUGAGAAGAAGCCGAGGCCACAGAGUUCAGCUCCAGCAGCCUCCUCACUGCUGAUCAACCUGCUGGAGCUGAACUCUGUGGCCUCGGCUUCUUCUCACAGCUGGACAUGCUGCUGGAAUCUGUUCUCAGGGUCUCCUGGAUCUGCUUCCUGCUCCUCAGCUCUGGAGCUUGUUACCCUUUUCUAAGUAAAGGUCAAACAGGUUCUGGAGGAGCUGGUGGAGGAACUGGAGGAGGAGCUGGCUCUGGUGGUUCUGGGGGAUUUGGUGGUUCUGGAGGCUCUGGGGGAUCUGGUGGUUCAGGAGGCUCUGGUUUCUUCAGCAGUUCUUUGCCCUUUGGAUCUGCAGGAUUUACUCCUUUGAUUAACUACCCACAGGGGUUCUCCUACGAUAUAAAUGACUUGAGACCAAGGUUUGUCCGUCUCCCAGACCCCUCAGUCUGGAUCCCUGAUAACAUUCCCACAGACCCCUUCCCAUUGGUUGUUCGUGGUCCUACGUCCUACAUCGUCCAGUCCAGUAACGGCUACCAGCGAGCCAGAGAACUCCUCUCCCACUCUAAAUACUCCCCAGAUGACUUUGGCCCGUUUUUCUCUCCAGUGAACCCAGGAGAUCCCAGCCAAGGACCUGGAACAGGAACUGGAACCAAGGUCUAAGGAGCUGAACUCUGUGGCCUCGGCUUCUUCUCACAGCUGGACAUGCUGCUGGAAUCUGUUCUCAGGGUCUCCUGGAUCUGCUUCCUGCUCCUCAGCUCUGGAGCUUGUUACCCUUUUCUAAGUAAAGGUCAAACAGGUUCUGGAGGAGCUGGUGGAGGAACUGGAGGAGGAGCUGGCUCUGGUGGUUCUGGGGGAUCUGGUGGUUCUGGAGGCUCUGGGGGAUCUGGUGGUUCAGGAGGCUCUGGUUUCUUCAGCAGUUCUUUGCCCUUUGGAUUUGCAGGAUUUACUCCUUUGAUUAACUACCCACAGGGGUUCUCCUACGAUAUAAAUGACUUGAGACCAAGGUUUGUCCGUCUCCCAGACCCCUCAGUCUGGAUCCCUGAUAACAUUCCCACCGACCCCUUCCCAUUGGUUGUUCGUGGUCCUACGUCCUACAUCGUCCAGUCCAGUAAUGGCUACCAGCGAGCCAGAGAACUCCUCUCCCACUCUAAAUACUCCCCAGAUGACUUUGGCCCGUUUUUCUCUCCGGUGAACCCGGGAGAUCCCAGCCAAGGACCUGGAACAGGAACUGGAACCAAGGUCUAAGGAGGUGGAACUGAUCAGCAGAACCUCCAAGAAACUACAAAGUGAUCUUUAAUAAACCUAAAGUAAACCAUGAAUCUGAGUUUGUCUGA